AGAGUUUGAUCAUGGCUCAGGAUUAACGCUGGCGGCGUGCCUAACACAUGCAAGUCGAACGGAAUAUCUUCGGAUAUUAGUGGCGAACGGGUGAGUAAAGUACAGGUAAUGUACCUCCGUACUGCGAAUAACAAGCUGAAAAGUUUGCUAAUACGGAAUAGUUUCUUCGAGAGGCAUCUUUUGAAGAAUAAAGAUUUAUCGUGCGGAGAUCAGCCUGUAUCCUAUUAGUUAGUUGGUGGGGUAAUGGCCUACCAAGACGACGAUGGGUAACUGGUCUGAGAGGAUGAGCAGUCACAUUGGAACUGAGAUACGGUCCAAACUCCUACGGGAGGCAGCAGUGAGGAAUUUUGCGCAAUGGGGGAAACCCUGACGCAGCAACGCCGCGUGAGUGAUGACGGCCUUCGGGUUGUAAAGCUCUGUCAAGAGGAAAGAAGUGUACAAUGGCUAAUACCUGUUGUAUUUGACGGUACCUCUAAAGGAAGCACCGGCUAACUCCGUGCCAGCCGCAGC
rnacentral:rRNA from 1 species